CGCGCAGGCGGCUCGUUAAGUCCAAGGUGAAAUCCCACGGCUCAACUGUGGGGGACCCUGGAUACUGGCGGGCUGGAGUGCGGGAGAGGGAAGCGGAAUUCCACGUGUAACGGUGAAAUGUAUAGAUAUGUGGAGGAACACCGGUGGCGAAGGCGGCUUCCUGGACCGUAACUGACGCUGAGGCGCGAAAGCUGGGGGAGCGAACAG
rnacentral:rRNA from 1 species